GAUACCAAAAAUGAAUUGUAUCCCUCACUGAUAAUAUUUUCACAUCCAGAUUUCCUUGUACACAAAGCCACCACUCCACCAAAGUGCAACACAUUAAUGGCCGUGAGCUCCACCCUCAGCCAAAUGUCUGGCAGUGGACACUAAUAAAACCAUCUGUUAUCGAGGGUCUCUAGUCUCUAAGCUUUGGCAGAGUUCCAGACUUUUGUUCCCAGAGCAGGACGGGAAGUUGAAAGAACCAGAUUUCUUCUUUGGGGAAGGCAGUUGCCCUGAAAACUUCUAGAUGAAGUCCUACAUUUACAAGACCAGUUAUCUGUAGUGAAUACAGUUUUGUGGCAUCUCCCACUUCUGUUACUGUUGUUUAUAGGGAAAUGUUUCUCAUUCUCUCUGGUUUCAUAUACC
rnacentral:lncRNA from 1 species